rnacentral:rRNA from 1 species
GACGAACGCUGGCGGCGUGCUUAACACAUGCAAGUCGAACGGAAAGGCCCUGCUUUUGUGGGGUGCUCGAGUGGCGAACGGGUGAGUAACACGUGAGUAACCUGCCCUUGACUUUGGGAUAACUUCAGGAAACUGGGGCUAAUACCGGAUAGGAGCUCCUGCUGCAUGGUGGGGGUUGGAAAGUUUCGGCGGUUGGGGAUGGACUCGCGGCUUAUCAGCUUGUUGGUGGGGUAGUGGCUUACCAAGGCUUUGACGGGUAGCCGGCCUGAGAGGGUGACCGGCCACAUUGGGACUGAGAUACGGCCCAGACUCCUACGGGAGGCAGCAGUGGGGAAUAUUGCACGAUGGGCGGAAGCCUAAUGCAGCAACGCCGCGUGCGGGAUGACGGCCUUCGGGUUGUAAACCGCUUUCGCCUGUGACGAAGCGUGAGUGACGGUAAUGGGUAAAGAAGCACCGGCUAACUACGUG